GAUGAACGCUGGCGGCGUGCCUAAUACAUGCGAGUCGAGCGAACAGACGAGGAGCUUGCUCCUCUGACGUUAGCGGCGGACGGGUGAGUAACACGUGGAUAACCUACCUAUAAGACUGGGAUAACUUCGGGAAACCGGAGCUAAUACCGGAUAAUAUAUUGAACCGCAUGGUUCAAUAGUGAAAGACGGUUUUGCUGUCACUUAUAGAUGGAUCCGCGCCGCAUUAGCUAGUUGGUAAGGUAACGGCUUACCAAGGGAACGAUGCGUAGCCGACCUGAGAGGGUGAUCGGCCACACUGGAACUGAGACACGGUCCAGACUCCUACGGGAGGCAGCAGUAGGGAAUCUUCCGCAAUGGGCGAAAGCUUGACGGAGCAACGCCGCGUGAGUGAUGAAGGUCUUCGGAUCGUAAAACUCUGUUAUUAGGGAAGAACAAAUGUGUAAGUAACUAUGCACGUCUUGACGGUACCUAAUCAGAAAGCCACGGCUAACUACGUG
rnacentral:rRNA from 1 species